AUUGAACGCUGGCGGCAUGCCUUACACAUGCAAGUCGAACGGCAGCACGGGUGCUUGCACCUGGUGGCGAGUGGCGAACGGGUGAGUAAUGCAUCGGAACGUACCCCGUAGCGGGGGAUAACCAACCGAAAGGUUGGCUAAUACCGCAUACGCUCUACGGAGGAGAGCAGGGGAUCGCAAGACCUUGCACUAUGGGAGCGGCCGAUGUUCGAUUAGCUUGUUGGUGAGGUAAAGGCUCACCAAGGCGACGAUCGAUAGCUGGUUUGAGAGAACGACCAGCCACACUGGGACUGAGACACGGCCCAGACUCCUACGGGAGGCAGCAGUGGGGAAUUUUGGACAAUGGGCGCAAGCCUGAUCCAGCAAUGCCGCGUGCGGGACGAAGGCCUUCGGGUUGUAAACCGCUUUUAGCAGGAACGAAACGGUGCGGGCUAAUACCCUGCGCUAAUGACGGUACCUGCAGAAUAAGCACCGGCUAACUACGUG
rnacentral:rRNA from 1 species